UUGGUCAUUUAGAGGAAGUAAAAGUCGUAACAAGGUUUCCGUAGGUGAACCUGCGGAAGGAUCAUUACCGAACUGUNGACACGAGUUGUUGCUGGUCCUCAAAUGGGGGCAUGUGCACGCUCUGUUUACGCAUCCACUCACACCUGUGCACCCACUGUAGUUCUAUGGCCUGGGGGCUCUGUCCUCUUGCUGUGGUUCUAUGUCUUUACACACACACUGUAAUAAAGUUUCAUGGAAUGCAUGACGCGUUUAACGCAAUACAAUACAACUUUCAGCAACGGAUCUCUUGGCUCUCGCAUCGAUGAAGAACGCAGCGAAAUGCGAUAAGUAAUGUGAAUUGCAGAAUUCAGUGAAUCAUCGAAUCUUUGAACGCACCUUGCGCCCUUUGGAUCUUCCAGAGGGCAUGCCUGUUUGAGUAUCAUGAACACCUCAACUCUCAUGGCUUUGCCAUGAUGAGCUUGGACUUUGGAGGUCUUGCUGGCCUGUGGUCGGCUCCUCUCAAAUAAAUCAGCUUGCCAGUGUUUGGUGGCGUCACAGGUGUGAUAACUAUCUACGCUUGUGGUUUUCCACCAGGCAACCUUCAGUGAUGGAGGUUCGCUGGAGCUCAUAAAUGUCUCUCCUCAGCGAGGACAGCUUCUUGAACGUUUGAUCUCAAAUCAGGUAGGGCUACCCGCUGAACUUAAGCAUAUCAAUAAGCGGAGGAAAAGAAACUAACAAGGAUUCCCCUAGUAACUGCGAGUGAAGCGGGAAGAGCUCAAAUUUAAAAUCUGGUGUGCCUCUGGCCACUCGAGUUGUAGUCUGGAGAAGCGUCUUCCGUGUUGGANCGUGUAUNAGUCUC
rnacentral:rRNA from 1 species